CUCCAAGGGCAGGAGGUAACCAUUAAAGAGGACCAUCAUGUAGUGUGAGGAGUCAACAUUUCACACUAGAAAGCCCUUGGUUCAAGUUUUGUCUCUGCCACCUACAGAUUUUGUAACCCUGAGGAAACUAGCUACCUCUUUAUGUACUGCCCUAUGGAGAGGCACACAUGUCAAGAAACUGAGGGAGUGCCUUCCAGUCAACAGCCAGCCAGGAACUAAGGUGCUCAGUACAGCAGCCUCCACAAAGGACUGAACAAUGCCAACAGCUAUUUGACUGUGCUUGGAAGAUCUCCGUUUAGUUAACCCUUCAGAUGAGACCGCAGCCCUGGCCAGCAAACAAAUUGCAGCCUAUGGAAAGACCUUAAGGCAGAAGCACCCAACUGAACCACCCGAGGGCUCUGACUUACAGAAACUGUGAGCAUAUAGUGAAAUGGCCUCUACCUUAUUUUGAAUGGAUUUCUGGGAUAAAGUUCUUCAGUGAUAACAUGUUUGAACACAAAUCAGAGCGAACGACGUGAAAAGAGUUCUGUUUCUCCUGGAAGGAUGCCACUUGUUUCUACUCCAGGGGAAAUGUCUUCCAAGCUCUUUACCAAAUCUGCAAGCUGAACCAACUCAACUGUGGCUGCCUUGCCCACCUGAAGACCUCAGGAUCCACCAGCAGCCCAAGACACCUCGGAAGCUGUUUCAAGGACAAGCGUCGCCUGCACACGUCAGCACAAAUGGGAACAUGAUGAGUGAUGCUGCCUGGAGUUAAAGGAGGCCAGGAGCACCAGAAGCUGGAGGAGGCCGGGGUGGAUUCUCGCCUGGAGGCUUCAGUGGGAGCACGAGCUCCCGACACUUCGGUUCCAUCUCUUGUUUAAAGGCACCCAGUUUCUCAUCAUUUGUUACAGCACCAUGGAAAACCCACACACAAGUGAAGCCCCGACCCACCUCCCAAGUGCCCAUCUGAGCACCCCUCGUGGACUCUGAGCAGGGGGUUGCCAUCACCAACUCCAAGUCUUGCAGCCCCUCUUCCCUUCAGUCUGGCUGCCACCUUCUUCAUUGCCCUGGAAAAAAAUAAUGAAGUUUCACCAUUUAAAGGGUUUCAGUGCAGCUUGCUAUGGGAACACUGGAGAGUAACACAAAUGGCCAAUUGUCCUAAUAGCCACCAUGGAUUGGAUGGAUGCUAACAACAGGCUCACAGUUCUCCUUCUGUUGCCUCCUUUUAUCCACAUGAGAAUCAAACAAGACUACUGAUUAAAUGAAGCCUUUGAUGAAGUGCAUGCAGUUUGUAGCUUGAUUCAUGGGAAUACUCAUCACAGACUGAAAGUGUAACCCAGGGUCUCUGGGUUUUUGGGAACGCGCUGUGUAAAAGUAUCUACUUGUAACUGUUACUCCCUGAGUUGUUGUUGUUUUAGAAAGUUCCAAGAAGAAGCUUAGCCUUGGAAAAAACAAAAACUGGUUGAAUCCAGAAGUGGAGAUGAAUUUUGGCCAACGCUCCUCACUGCCACACUAAAAACCCUGCUCAGAGAGGAGCUUAUUCACCAUGUUCUAUUCAUGCAAUGUGUGUGGAAACAUGAUCUACGACAGCAUGCGUGCUGCCUUCACCCUACCUCUACAUACAAUGACUCAUUUAACCUGCUGAAUAAAAGCCCUGUUUUCACCUUUGCUGGGGGAGGUGCCGCUUUGGGAACUAUUCGCAGUGUCCUCUUCACUUUUUGCAAGUAAUAGAAUACCCUUGUUAAAUCCUACUUGGUUGUGGUCAUUAUAGUGUCACCCGCCAAGCAAUCGAUCCCACCCAGGGUUAACAAAUGCGGGAUAACAAAUGUCAGGUUUUAGGCAAGUUACUUACUCGCUCAAAAUAUGAAGAUAUAAGUUACCAUCAGUUGUCAAUCAUGGUGAGCUUUGCUCUGCUGCAGUAACAGACAAUCGUAACUCUUAGUAGCUCUAAAUGACCAGUUUAAAUAACACCUCGUCUUUGUAGUUUUGAUAGCGACAGGAGGCAGCCAAAUGCCUAGGCAGGUAGGGGCAGGUUCCCCGUGAAACUCCAUCUCCAAGCCGAAGACAGUUUAGAGCCUGAAAGCCAAGCUCCACAUUAAAUCCUCCGACUGGAUUGAGAACUUGUCUUCCUGUUUAGUGUGCUUUUCUCUCAUUGGUCCCUGCCAUUCACCUAUUUCAUAUACACCUAACCUUUUCUAAUUGGUUUUCUAUACUGUCAUGCCCAACUUUGAGUGGUCUUUGCUUUAACCUUUUCUACAUAUUCACAAACCGAUCAGCAUGCACCCCCCAUUCUGAGUCCAUGAAAGGCUCUGGAUCUAGCCACACAGAGGAACUUUCCCAUCUUCAGGUAGGGGGGCCACCACCAACAUGUCCCCUCUCCACCAAAAGCUGUUUUCAUUGUUCAAUAAAAUUCUUCUCUGCCUUCCUCACCCUUCAAUGUCCAGCAUAUCCUCAUUCUUCUUGGGCAUGGUACAAGAGCACAGGAACCACUGAAGGUGGGUACAAGUUAUAAUACAGGCAAGUGGGGGCAUGCCAGCUUUGGCUGAGUGAGGACCAGGUCGAGCAUUACUGUCAGGGGAUCCCUGGCUUGCAAAGUGACCAAGAAGAAAAGUCUUACAUUAGUUUGGCUAGGGUGAGGCCCUGACCUCUGUUACCUUCACUCGGCCAGCUCACUGAUGGUGACUCUGUAUUGAUAGGCACUCCACCCAGAAAUUGUGCACUGACAUUUCCUGGCCAACGAAAGUUACUCAACUAUGCCUGAUUUUAAACUGCAAUCCUAACAUGACCCAGAAGGUGAAGAGCCAGAAAUAUUUGAUGACUACACUGAGCCCACUUUCCCUCACAGGCUUGUUUUGCAGGGUUAAUGAUUUAAGCCAUGUGAUGUAUGGUUCACAGGGUGCCUGGCACCUGCCAAGUAUUCUUCCCCCAGGAGUUGGCAGGUCCUUGAAGGCACUCUCUGGUUUAGAUAUUCUUAGCUCCUUCCACUGUUCCUCAUGCUACAUUAUCUUAAAUCUUUUUAUUUUUACCAUCCUGGUUCGUCUCCUCUAAAAAUCCUACCCAAAUGUCCCUGUUAAUUCAUGAUCCACCAGAAACAAACAAUCUUCCAGCUGAAUACAGAACCCAAGAGAACAAAAUGAUCUCCUUCCUUCUUCUAGAUUAUGCAUCCUAAAAUCUGACUGUUUUUUCUUUUCUGGCAAUCAGAGUGCACUGUUGAAUUUACUGUCAAUUAAACAUUCUCCAUCUCUUCUAUGUAUUUUUCUGUAUUUAGACAUUUUUCUCCAAUCCCAUACUUGUGUCAUUAGCUUUUCAGUCACAAAUAAAAGAAGUUUCACAUUGUUCCUUAUUAAAGAGCAUCUGUUUGACUUGGCCCAUUCUUCCCAGCAGUUAUAAUUCAGACCAAGGUUGUUCUCAUCCAACAUUCAAACAAACACUAUGGAAUGGGAGAGGUAUGAAAGCAUUCAUCCCGACAAACAAUGGUCUCACCAUUUUGGAAGGCAUCUUUUUUACUUCAUUUUUUAACAGCUGUAUUAAUAUGUAACUGAGGUACAAUAAACUGAAUACAUUUAAAGGG
rnacentral:lncRNA from 1 species